UCAAUAUUAGGCAUGUGGCUUCUCAUUGACCAAAAUGUCACUCUGAGGCAUGUGCCAUGCUUAGGAGAAGGUCAGGGAUGCAGAGGACGUCCAAGAUACCCACAUAGGCCUGAAAUCUUUGCCACACAGCCUAGGCUGAUCCAGGUCACUGCCUGCCUGGCCAGGGGAGUUGAAGAAGAACAGAAAGGCCUUUAAAGACUUUUGGACCCAGAGAGGCAGAACCAAAGAAAGGUGGUAGUGGUUGGCAUGCCAAGAAGAGAAUGUUGGGUAAACCAAAGCAAAGCUCAUGUCAAGACUCCAUGCACACAGAGAAAAGGCCUGGAGAUGGAUGGAUCACAUACCCAUCAGCAAAUCGAGAGAUGAUCAUGAUGGGACCAAAGGACUCCUCCUUAGCGAUGUACAUGUGGUCCUCCACGUCUGUGAAAAUGGUUGGCUGAAAGAAGAAGCCUGUGGGGAGACAGUGGUCUGAUGCACGUUGGAAUACUGUUCUCUCUGGUUCCAACAGGUUCACUAUAGACCUAGGCACCUCAUCCUCUGCCUUCUAGGUAGAAAUGGCCAAAAAGAGUCACCCCCUGAUCUGUCCUGUUCUUGACUGGGUUCUAGAAAACUCUCCACCUUCCUGUUCAGAGAGCUGAUGGGCCACCCCUAUGUCCAUGGGGGCUGCACUGGCCCCACUGGGUCCCUCUCCCUGCUCUGUGAACAAUGCUUGUUGUCUGUCCCCUGCUAGGGCUUGCCACACUGUCCCCAGCCUUAAGGAACUCUCCACUUUGGUGAUACAGGGACGUUUGCGCUUGAAUGCCACUUGAGCUAAAUAACAAGUUGUUCUCUGGGUGGGAUGCUGGGAGUAGCUGUCUGCCAAGCUGAGGAACUGUCAAUACAGACAGCAGAAAAUGAGAAGCAUCAAGAGAAAACGCAAGAUGGUGGCCCAUGACGGGGGUCAAUGGCAAGUCACACUGUUCACAAACGAGACCAUGGAGGCAGUCAGGAAACUUGCGCCUGAAGCAAUAGUGCACUGUAUCAGAACCCAAGAGCUCUCAGAGGAUUAAUAUACAAAGGGUCAAUGUCUGGUUUUUGGGGCUGCUCAGCAGGAUGAGGUGCAAAAGGUGCAGGAGAACCAAAUCAUAAAUGAGGUGUCAGACUUAACAGAACCAAGGAGAGAAUUAAAAUCAAGGCGUCAGAAG